UUGCCACCUUGGAGCCCUUGGGUCUGGGUUAAGUCACUAGUGCCCACAGAGCUCAGCUGGGAAGAAGAAAUCACAGACACCUCGCCAACCAUUCCCUUAGGCCUCUGGCUUCAUCUAGUCUGGUCACUGAACCGGCAGCAGAAUGUCCUCCUGUGUCCUCCGGCCACAGAUAACCCCCAUUUAUUAAUGGGGCAGCCCGACAAGCCCCCUUGGGACAAUCCAUGGUACAGAGGGGCCAGCAGGACUGAGCACCAGCCCCCAGUGGAAGAAAAAACGCUGGAACCUAAACAGGCAGCAUCACCCACAGCUCACAGGUCCUUCCCAUCCUAACAGGAUUUUUGUGGGCCUGGUUAUAGGCUGCAUUAAGCUGCCCCACUCCCAUCCCCACUACGUCACAUGUUGACAUACAAACCCCCAGACCCUCAGGCUGUGACUGCCGUUGGAGACGGAGCCUUCAAUGAGGUAAAUGAGGUGAAACGAGGCCUCUUCCAGUCUGACCGGCAUCUCUGAGGGGUGUGAGUCCUCACAGAGCAAAGGCCAUGUGAGGAGGAAGCCAGAAGACGACCGACUUCAAGGCAAGGAGAGAGGCCCUCCGAGGAAACCACCCCCGCUGACACCUGAUCUUGGACGUCCAGCCUCGAGACCUAUGAGAAAGUAAAUUUCUGCAGAGUAGCCCCCAGACUAUAGCAUUUUGUUAUGACUUCCCAGGCCUUGAAAAUUUUCAUUUAUUUCUGAUGUGAGAAAAAAUACACUAUCUUUGACCCUAAAGCUUUUUUUUUUUCUUUCUGACUUUAAAAGAAAUUGAAACAUUUGCGUGGGCCCCUUGAAGUACAGUGGGCUCUGAGCACAGCACCCUUUGCACCUGAUGGAGCCGUCGGCUCCACCAUCACUGAGGGCACCUGGACCAUUCUGCAUUGAAGCCGUUUUUGUGCUGAAGGUGUUUUUCCCACUGAUGCUGGUUUUCCAUACCUCUGUUCCUCCCGGGGUGUCCUGCACUGCAGCUCGCAUUGUAUUAUGGCCUAAAACCAGACCACUGUGACAAAUGA